rnacentral:rRNA from 1 species
GAUGAACGCUGGCGGCGUGCCUAGUACAUACAAGUCGAGCGAACGGACGAGAAGCUUGCUUCUCUGAUGUUAGCGGCGGACGUGUGAGUAACACGUGGGUAACCGACCUAUAAGACUGGGAUAAGUUCGGGAAACCGGAGCUAAUACCGGAUGAUAUUUUGAACCGCAUGGUUCAAAAGUGAAAGACGGUCUUGCUGUCACUUAUAGAUGGAUCCGCGCUGCAUUAGCUAGUUGGUAAGGUAACGGCUUACCAAGGCAACGAUGCAUAGCCGACCUGACAGGGUGCUCGGCCACACUAGAUCUGAGACCCGGUCCACACUCCUACGGGAGGCCGCCGUCGGGCAUCUUCCGCCCUGCGCGCAUGCUUGACCCAGCACCGCCGCGUGAGUGAUGAAGCUUCUCGGAGCGUAAAACUCUGUUCUUCGGGAAGAACAUCUGUCUCAGUCACUGUGAACAUCCUGCCGGUACCCUAUCAGAAAGCCACGCCUACCUACGAC